UGGGGAAUCUUGGACAAUGGGGGCAACCCUGAUCCAGCCAUGCCGCGUGAGUGAUGAAGGCCUUAGGGUCGUAAAGCUCUUUCGCCUGUGAAGAUAAUGACGGUAGCAGGUAAAGAAACCCCGGCUAACUCCGUGCCAGCAGCCGCGGUAAUACGGAGGGUGCUAGCGUUGUUCGGAAUUACUGGGCGUAAAGGGCGUGUAGGCGGAUAUGUAAGUUAGGGGUGAAAUCCCGGGGGCUCAACCUCGGAACUGCCUUUAAUACUGCAUAUCUAGAAUCCAUGAGGGGAUAGUGGAAUAUCAAGUGUAGAGGUGAAAUUCGUAGAUAUUUGGAGGAACACCAGUGGCGAAGGCGGCUCACUGGCUCGAUACUGACGCUGAGGUGCGAAAGUGUGGGGAGCAAACAGGAUUAGAUACCCUGGUAGUCCACACCGUAAACGAUGAAUGCCAGUCGUCGGGUAGCAUGCUAUUCGGUGACACACCUAACGGAUUAAGCAUUCCGCCUGGGGAGUACGGUCGCAGA
rnacentral:rRNA from 1 species